AACUCACUAUACUGUGGCAGCACUAGUAAAGCUUUAUGUAUAAAGGUUAUGUUUUCAACGUAAUUGUAAAGAAAAGUUUUAUUAAAUUUGAAUUUAUUUUUAGAAUUUAAAUAUUCAAAAUGAUUGAAAAAUUUACACCAGGAAAUGUAUUAUUAACAUCUAUAUUUGUUUUUUGGACAUACUCAAUAUAUUUUGAACCUCGGAAAUAUCGUUUGUACGGUUUCUUUACGGACCCUCAGCUCUCUUAUGCUCGUCAGAUAGAAUUGAAACACUUGGGUAAAGUAUACGAACCAGGGGAACACUUAACUAGAAGUAUGUAUGAAAAAAAAUGAAACAAAGAUUUUAUAUUGUUUAAAAUACAUGUAUAAUAUUAAUAUAAUAUAUAUAAUAUAUAUACAUGUCAAUCAAUAUUAUUGUAGUUAAAAUAAGAUUUAAUAAAAUACAUGAAAAAUAUA